AAGUCGUAACAAGGUUUCCGUAGGUGAACCUGCGGAAGGAUCAUUCUUGUAUGUUGUAGCUUAUGCUACCACUUAUUAUGUGCACUGUUACUCGCCAUUUGGCGGCCGCAAGGUCGUCGUCUGGCUCACUUUUUAUAUACCUUACUAACAACAUCUUUAUACCAUCAAACUUAAGUUUGAGAAAACUUUUAGCAAUGGAUCUCUAGGCUCUC
rnacentral:misc_RNA from 1 species